UACAGAGACUGCAAGCGUUAUUCGGAUUCACUGGGCGUAAAGGGUGCGCAGGCGGUUGUGUGUGUCAGGUGUGAAAGCCCGGGGCUUAACCCCGGAAUUGCGCCUGAAACUACAUGACUAGAGCAUUGGAGAGGGUAGCGGAAUUCACGGUGUAGCAGUGAAAUGCGUAGAUAUCGUGAGGAACACCAGAGGCGAAAGGCGGCUACCUGGACAAUUGCUGACGCUCAGGCACGAAAGCGUGGGGAGCAAAAGGG
rnacentral:rRNA from 1 species